ensembl:snRNA U6 U6 spliceosomal RNA
AGCAAAGUUUAACAUGGCCCAUGCACAAGGAUGACACACAAAUUCAUGAAAUGUUCCACAUUUUU